GGACAUGUAGCUCAGUGAUAGAGUAUAUGCUUUGCAUACAUAAGGCCCUGAGUUUGAUCCCUGGCAUCUCCU
rfam:Ovis aries breed Texel chromosome 2, whole genome shotgun sequence.